CUUUCUGUUACGCUCCCCGGGCCUCCCGCGGGGGAAGUCCGGUGAGAGUCCGGCGCUGACCCGCAACGGUGUGCGCGGGGACCAUGUGGUCCGUCGCGCGAGCCCGAUCGCCCGUGGUGGGUGCGACCGU
rnacentral:ncRNA from 1 species